GAUGAACGCUGGCGGCGUGCCUAAUACAUGCAAGUCGAGCGAACAGACGAGGAGCUUGCUCCUCUGACGUUAGCGGCGGACGGGUGAGUAACACGUGGAUAACCUACCUAUAAGACUGGGAUAACUUCGGGAAACCGGAGCUAAUACCGGAUAAUAUAUUGAACCGCAUGGUUCAAUAGUGAAAGACGGUUUUGCUGUCACUUAUAGAUGGAUCCGCGCCGCAUUAGCUAGUUGGUAAGGUAACGGCUUACCAAGGCGACGAUGCGUAGCCGACCUGAGAGGGUGAUCGGCCACACUGGAACUGAGACACGGUCCAGACUCCUACGGGAGGCAGCAGUAGGGAAUCUUCCGCAAUGGGCGAAAGCCUGACGGAGCAACGCCGCGUGAGUGAUGAAGUUCUUCGGAUCGUAAAACUCUGUUAUUAGGGAAGAACAAAUGUGUAAGUAACUAUGCACGUCUUGACGGUACCUAAUCAGAAAGCCACGGCUAACUACG
rnacentral:rRNA from 1 species